UGUUCUUGGUGUAGGUCAUAAAAGUUCCCUUAGAAGAAAAGAGACAUUCCCUAAGUAGGAAGUUGUACAUAACAGGCUACAAAAGGACUAACUAGCUAGGUAUACCUUGAAAAUAUAUUCUUAAUUAACAGCAACAAAUAUGACUAUUUACAGACAAAUAAUACGAAAAAGGCUUGAAUGCUAGAACCUACGUACAAAAGGCAAGCAUAAUAUGUCUGCUUAUAUAUAUUAUCUGUAUAUUCGUUUGGAACUUUUUGUAGCA
rnacentral:misc_RNA from 1 species